AUACGAAAGGUGCAAGCGUUGUUCGGAUUUACUGGGCGUAAAGAGAGUGUAGGUUGUUUAUUAAGUCGGAUGUGAAAUCCCGGGGCUCAACCUCGGAACUGCAUUCGAUACUGAUAGGCUAGAGUUUGGGAGGGGUAAGCGGAAUUCCGUGUGUAGCAGUGAAAUGCGUAGAUAUACGGAGGAACACCUGAGGCGAGGGCGGCUUACUGGACCAAUACUGACACUGAGACUCGAAAGCGUGGGUAGCAAACAGGAUUAGAAACCCCAGUAGUCC
rnacentral:rRNA from 1 species